AAGAGAGGCUCAGAUGACGUGCCGUUGAUUAAAUUCUCAAAGCCCUGAACGGCAAGUAGUUUACGUUUGUCCUCCGAAUAGGCCCAUUAAAAUCCAAACCCAGAGAGAGUGAUGCUUGUAGUAGCCCAUUAACCAUGCGAAUGUUGACACGUGUCAUCUUUAGAUUUAUAAUGCGCUUUUCCACGGCGUACAUUAGCAAUAUUAGUUGGAUGAUCCUAGAAAUUUCACAAAGGGUGAAAAUGAAAUAUUAAGGUUUCGGGGACGAAGAUUCUGCAAUCUCUUCUGCUCAUUGAGGUUUGUUCAUGCUCGAGUGAGCUUUAAGCUUAGCGGUACUCUGAUUUGAAAAUACGAUUGAAAGGAAGGAGCUUUACUAUGGAUGAGGGAGAUGGGAGAGAUGAGAUGGAACAAUUCCACCAAAACGAGGCGAUCUCUGCCGUCGCAGACGAUGGUUUUACGGCGGAGGAAGAAGACGACGACGACUAUGAUGAUCUUUACAACGACGUUAACGUCGGAGAAGGGUUUCUUCAGUCUGUGAGAAAAAACGACGAAGCUGGAUCAAGAGACGAGGAGAAGGAGGAGGUCAAAACCGAGGGUGAGGAAGAUAGGGUUGAAUCAGUUUUAGGUACGUCGGAAGCUGAGGUCUCGAUCCCUGGCUUGGUUGGUGAGGGGGUUGCCGUCAAAGAAGAAGCAGGAGGAGGAGGAGAAAGUGGAAAUGGAGCUCAAGAGCUUAAGGUAAGUGAUGUUAGUGAUGGGCUUAAGGCCAAUAAUGUUGAGGCUCCUAUAGGGAAUAUUGUUUUGCCACCACCGCCUAGCUUAGGAAAUAACGAGAAUUUGAUGAGAGCUGUGAUGGGAAAUGCUAAUGGCGUGGCUCCUCCUGGACCUGGUAGUAACAUACCCGGGAACGGAGCUAUCAUUCAUAUGCCUGGUGUUGUUAAUGGUGGGGGAACCGGUGGUGGAGGAGCUUUUGUUUACGUUGGGGAUUUGCAUUGGUGGACAACUGAUGCUGAAAUCGAGGCAGAGCUUUGCAAGUAUGGUGCAGUGAAGGAGGUUAAGUUCUUCGAUGAGAAAGCUAGUGGGAAGUCGAAAGGGUUUUGUCAAGUGGAGUUUUAUGAUCAAAUGGCAGCUACUGCUUGCAAAGAGGGGAUGAAUGGGUAUGAAUUCAACGGUAGGCCUUGUACUGUUGAUUAUACUUCUCCGCAUUCGGGCAAGAGAAUGGGGGAGGCACAUGUGAAUAGGAACCAGCAGGUGCAGUCUGGAUUUUCACAAGCCAAGAAAGGAGGCCCUGCUGAUUCUCCGAUUAAACCCCUAGCGACCACCAACAGCAAUAAUAACGUCGGGAGUUUCCAAGGUGGGGAAAAUAGAGGAUUUGGCAGGGGUAAUUGGGGUAGAGGAAUGGGUGGUAGAGGACCAGGUGGUCAGAUGAGGAAUAGGCCUGGUGGGAUGGGUGGAAGAGGUUUUGGUGGAGGUGGGUUUGGUCAAGGAAUGGGCACAGGGCCUCCUAUGAAUAUGAUGCAUGCUCAAUCAAUGAUGGGGCAAGGGUUUGAACAAGCUUUUGGUGGACCCAUGGCGAGAAUGGGUGGCUAUGGAGGAUUCCCUGGUGCUCCAGUUCCUCCGUUUCCUGGGCUUAUGACUUCGUUCCCUCCUGUUGGAUUACCUGGAGUGGCACCUCACGUGAAUCCAGCGUUUUUUGGAAGAGGGAUGCCAAUGAAUGGAAUGGGAAUGAUGCCUAAUGCUGCUGCUGAUGGAGGGCAUAAUAUGGGAAUGUGGGAUCCUAACAGUGGAGGAUGGGGUGGUGAAGAUUUGGGUGGUGGGAGAGCUGCGGAAUCGAGUUAUGGGGAGGAAGCUGCAUCAGAUCAUCAGUAUGGAGAUCGUUCGAAUCAUGUGAAGGAAAAGGAAAAAGGUUCAGAAAGAGAAUGGUCUGGUUCAUCUGAUAGAAGGAAUCGUGAGGAUAAAGAUGCUGGUUACCAAAGGGACAUACCGAGGGAGAAAGAUGUUCAUGGUUAUGAUUUGCCGGAGAGAAGGCAUCGUGAUGACAGAGACAGUGGUCGUGAGCGUGAGAGGGAACACCAUCAUAAAGAGCGUGAACGCUCCAGGGAUCGUGACAGAGAAAGGGACAGAGAGAGGGAUCGUCAUAGAGAAGAACGAGAAAGAUAUGGUGGUGAUCAUCGUAACAGACACAGGGAAGAACCUGAGCUUGAUGAUGAGUGGAACAGAAGUCGAUCAUCCAGAGGACACAGCAAAUCGCGGUUGUCUCGGGAGGAUAACCAUCACUCAAGAUCAAGGGAUGCUGAUUAUGGGAAACGAAGGCGGCUUACAACUGAAUAAUGGUCAGAGGAGUUUUUAGACUAAAAGUUAGCUGUCUGCAUGGACAUGUUACUGUCUCAUUGUCUAAAACUAGUACUAGGGUUCCUGCUGUCUUCUUAAAUUCACAGCGUCUUAUGGGUACACUGACGUUGUGAGCUCCUCCAAAAAAUCUGAAGCCUUGUAACAGAAAGAAGUCUCUCACUGGUGAAAUCUCUUCUUCAACUCAGCUUAGUUAAGUGGAAAGAAACUCGGCAAACGUUUGCCUUUUAAGUGCUAAGACACCUUACCUUUUACCAUUUUUAUGUGAAAUUUCUAAGACUAAUGUGUUGUGGUGAUGCUAUGGCCUUUCGAGUGUCCAUCCAAUUGUGUUUAGAUCUUAUUCUAACUGUUUCUGAACUUUGUUAUUCUGUAGUUGUAUUAGUUGCAGCCAAAUUAGUUAGCUUGGCCAGUACUACUGAUCUCGUUUCUUCAUGUUUUAGCCAUCUGAGUUGUAAUUGGAAACAUGACAAAUGUAACAGCAUGUGCAUCCUUUGGGGGUUGUAUUUUUGUGAUUUCCAAAAGUGAUGUGGUCGAUCAUUUUUUGUUCU